rnacentral:rRNA from 1 species
GCAAGGCUGAAUCUCAAAGGAAUUGCCGGGGGGUCUAACACUAGUGGUGGGGGCAUGUGGUUUAAUGCGAUAAUCCGCGCAGAACCUUACCAAUUCUUGACAUAAUUUUUAAGUGAUAAUGUCUUUAGCUAAUAGUUAAAAAUUAUCCUUUAUAUUACAGGUGUUCGCACGACUGUCGUCAGCUCGUGUCGUGAGAUGUUUGGUUAAGUCCUGAGGCGGGCGCAACUCUUACUUUUACAAAGUUUAGCAAACAAAUAAUUUUUGAUAAAAGUUAUUUUUGUUUUAGGGUACGGUCAAUGAUAAAUUGAAGGAAGGUAAGAAUGAAGUCAAGUCAAUGUGACCCUAAUGAAUUGGGCUACACAUGUGCUACAAUGAAAACUACAAAAGGUGACAAAAAAGAUAAUUUUUGGUUAGUCCAAAAAAGUUUUCCAAGUUCGGAUUGUAAACUGCAACUCGUUUACAUGAAGCUGGAAUCACUAGUAAUCGCGAAUCAGCACGUUGCGGUGAACACGUAAAUUGACC